rnacentral:rRNA from 1 species
CGCGUAGGCGGCCUGACCAAGUCGGAUGUGAAAUCCCUCGGCUCAACCGAGGAACUGCAUCCGAUACUGGUUGGCUAGAGUCCGGGAGAGGGUAGCGGAAUUCCCAGUGUAGCGGUGAAAUGCGUAGAUAUUGGGAAGAACACCGGUGGCGAAGGCGGCUACCUGGACCGGUACUGACGCUGAGGCGCGAAAGCCAGGGGAGCGAAUG